rnacentral:rRNA from 1 species
GACGAACGCUGGCGGCGUGCUUAACACAUGCAAGUCGAACGGAAAGGCCCUGCUUUUGUGGGGUGCUCGAGUGGCGAACGGGUGAGUAACACGUGAGUAACCUGCCCUUGACUUUGGGAUAACUUCAGGAAACUGGGGCUAAUACCGGAUAGGAGCUCCUGCUGCAUGGUGGGGGUUGGAAAGUUUCGGCGGUUGGGGAUGGACUCGCGGCUUAUCAGCUUGUUGGUGGGGUAGUGGCUUACCAAGGCUUUGACGGGUAGCCGGCCUGAGAGGGUGACCGGCCACAUUGGGACUGUGAUACGGCCCAGACUCCUGCGGGCGGCAGCGGUGGGGAAUAUUGCACGAUGGGCGGAAGCCUGAUGCAGCAACGCCGCGUGCGGGAUGACGGCCUUCGGGUUGUAAACCGCUUUCGCCUGUGACGAAGCGUGAGUGACGGUAAUGGGUAAAGAAGCACCGGCUAACUACGUG